rnacentral:lncRNA from 1 species
UUUUUUUGUUAGUAAAGAUUCACUUCUCCUGUAUAAAUAGAGAGGAAAACUAAAUCAUUUAGUGUGCACCUUACAAAAUAUAGUCUUCUAGUUAGUGAAGUGAAUGAGAUCUCUCCCAUGAAGAGUUCUUAUAUUUUCAUAUAUGUAACCCCUCUUUCUAUGAAAUUGUUGGAUUGCUAUUUAGUAAAGUGUAUUUUUUUUUUCUUAUUCCGCAACAAUAGAAUCCUCUAAAUAUGAUCCUACAACUCUCUUAGCUAGACAUGGUGGUGUAGAAUUUCCAAGGGUAUUCUUUCCGAACCCCAUGGGGAGAAAUAUUUAGAGCUAACACGUUGGAGCAAAUAAAUUAAAUCCAACAACAUGGAGAAGGAUUCACUUAGAAUGUGGGAUAAUUUCCUUAUCUUGAUGUCCCCAUAGUUAGUGUUCAUAUCCUCGAGCUUUGCGGCUCCUUGACUCUUACUCAACGACUUAUACCACAAAAUGUAGUUCAGUAGUUGUGAAUUGUGUUAAUGCGGGUCUGAUGCAAUGUUGACGUCGCCAUGUUCUAUCUCUCGUGGAUGAACAAAAUUUAGAGUAGGAUAACUUUGAUCUUGAUCUCGAGCCAAUUAUGGGCUAAAUUUCACCACCAAAAUUUUAAGUAGCCUCAUUUUUUUGCAGCAUAAUUUUGACCAGGAUCCAAUGAAGCCUGACUUUUAGAAACCUCCACAAUGUAGUCUUCAUCCAUAGUUUUACUCGUACACUCCCAUUAAUCAACAACAAUAUCAAGAAGUCUCUUAAGAUAUUGUUUCACUUUAAGACGAUAUGGAACAAUUUGAUAAUAAUUUCUAGGAUCUUUGUAAUGAUGUCGACACCCUCUAAUGACUUUGACGCUAUAACUCAUUUUGUUAUUGAUAUUUAUGCCAACUCUUGACCCGAUCCUUUGCAGCCACCGCCCCUGCCAUAUGUUCAACAUUACCUGAAUUUUCCACCACCCCUCCUCAUGAUUAGAAGGUCCGAUCCUCUCUAUGCAAUAGGAAAAUGCCACAACUUAAGCUUAGAGAGGGAAAUUCUCUAAAUUUUGUAAAAAAAAAUCAGUUUUUGCUUUGGUAGUUUUUUUUUUUUGCUUUUUUAUUUGUAAAAGAACAUUUUUUUCAUUUUAAUUUCUGUUUUUAAGAAAAAUUCAGAAAAAAUUAAAAAGAUAAAUUUCUUUUAUAAACUAGAUCAUUAUAAAAAAAAAGUUUUAUGAGAUGCUGAAACUAGUUACUUCAUAAUAUGUUAUGUAAAUGUGGAAAUGUUAGUGACCAAAAUUGAUAGUCUCAAUACACAUAGGUGUAGUAAUAGUUCUUCAUAAGUAGGGAUUUGUUAAACAUCGUGAAUUGGUAAACCAAUCAUAAAAAAGUAAAAGAAACCUUUAAAACAAUUAUAACUAUGGAGUUGUUAAACACUGUGACCAUUAAACCAACUUGGAAGUAAUUUCUUGAAACUUUUAUAAAAGAACCCAGGUGAUAAUUCUUGACUAUAUAUAACUUGGGUGUUACCUUUCAGGGUGAACCGCAAGUCUAACAACAUAUUCAUUCAACCAAAUACAAAGAUCGAAGAAAUAAGCAAAUUGUUAAAUCCCAGAUCAUAGUGGGUACCAACUGUCAAAAUCGAUAGCCAAAUGAACUUUCAAGCACCUAAAUGAAGAACUACCCAAUAAAUAUUCAAAGAAAUAAAAUUUAAGAAACUAAAGCCAAAGGCAAAAGUCACAUUUACGUUUCAAUGAAUUUGUGUGCAACCACAAAGUCAAAUAUCGUUCACAUGAAGAACCUGUGGACUAUGAUAUUGGAUACUUUCAAAAUAGUGAAAAGAUAGGUGUCGGCCCCUUCAUGUGAGCUAGUUAUUUCAUAUAAAGUUGAUAUGCCUUGUCGGAGUCUUUGAGGAUCAGUCAAGUUAGGUAACUCUAAUGAAUUUGGGUUGAAAUAAUAUUAAUUAUAAACAUGAUGUUUUUUGUAAAUAAAGUUUAUUAAUGUAUUAAUUUUAUUUAGUUUUACGAUUGGUUUAUCAUUUUGCACCAUCAAAAAAUCCUUCUAACUUUAGAUUUUGGGAUAAUACUAGAGGUGUCGAGAAUAAUGGUUAAGUUCGUGAUCCCACUAGAGUUUCUUUGGCGUGAAGUCUUAUCAUAUAAUAAAAAAUAUUGGAAGUCAUUUUUUUUUUUGUGAUGUCUUUGAUUUUUAGUUUUUUUUUUACUAUUUUACUUUAUUUUAUAAUAUUCAUUUGUAUGAUCAUAGAAUAGUUAACUUCUCUCUGCAUGAUCGUCUAUUUAGGUUCUUCGUAGCCAUCUACAAUUUACUUACCUAACUUUUAUUUUCCUCUCUCGAGUAUAAGUAAGGUUUAAGAUUGGGAGAUUUGUUAGAUUUAUUUGUAUGCUUCUUUUCUACUAGUUUUACUACCUAAUUUGUAUUCGAUUUUCUACAUUUUUGCUUGUGUAAGUGUUAAUAAAUUGGACAGUUGUUUUCUUCAGAACAUGUGUGCUGCAUAUGUUUUGAUAUCUAAUUUCAGGUAUUCAAAGCAGAGUGGGAAUUCGAAGAUAUAUUGAUGCAACAUGGAGGAAACCUAGAGCAAUUUUUGGAGCAUAACAGUAGCUUAUAGUACAUACGGAAGUUAGAGAAUGGAAGGAAGCAAUAUGUUCUGAACACCAUAAUGCAAAAAUAACCUAACACGGGAUGUGUUCACUCUGAUACAGGUUGUGUACCUUCAUUUAAAUAAUCUGAGAUGUUUUGUUUUUUUCAAAAAAAAUGAAAACCUUGAAGCAGGUAGUUUUUGUGCUGUUAAGGGUCAUGUCCCAUCCCUGGGGAUUGUGUUUCUGAUUUUGAAGAUUUAUCAGUACUAUCUCCAAACAAGGGCCGUGUUCCAAGAAAAUUUCUCAAAGUAGCAUUGUACUUCAUUUAAAGUGAUAUGGGGUUUGUUUUCCUCCGAACACGGGCUGUGUUUCUUUAAAAUUGGUUGUGUCCCAAGAGGUGUUAUCUAGCAACAUACCAAUUUUCCAAGUGCUCCAAAGCCAUAAUUGGUUAUAAGGUGUUGUAUCAGUUAUUCAUUAGUCACAAACAUCAUGUUCGACAUCAGACAUGGAUCACAAUUAAUCUCAUCUUGACUACAUAUGUCUUUCAUAUAGUUCAUCGUAUACCUAACGAUGACCCUUAUAACUGCCUUUUUACAGAACAAUGUUAAAGCAUGUCAAAGUACAACAAUUCUGAUACUUAAGUCCUACAAAUAUAUCUCAGGUUGAAGAAUACAAAUAUACUACCUUUA